rnacentral:rRNA from 1 species
CAGUCGCCGCGGGAAUACAGAGGGUGCGAGCGUUAAUCGGAUUUACUGGGCGUAAAGCGCGCGUAGGUGGUUUGUUAAGUUGGAUGUGAAAGCCCCGGGCUCAACCUGGGAACUGCAUCCAAAACUGGCAAGCUAGAGUACGGUAGAGGGUGGUGGAAUUUCCUGUGUAGCGGUGAAAUGCGUAGAUAUAGGAAGGAACACCAGUGGCGAAGGCGACCACCUGGACUGAUACUGACACUGAGGUGCGAAAGCGUGGGGAGCAAACAGGAUUAGAUACCCGAGUAGUCCUGUCUCUUAUACA